rnacentral:rRNA from 1 species
AUCAGCCACACUGGGACUGAGACACGGCCCAGACUCCUACGGGAGGCAGCAGUGGGGAAUUUUGGACAAUGGGCGAAAGCCUGAUCCAGCCAUGCCGCGUGAGUGAAGAAGGCCUUCGGGUUGUAAAGCUCUUUCAGGUGGAAAGAAAUCACCGCCCCGAAUACGGGUGGUGGAUGACGGUACCAUCAGAAGAAGCACCGGCUAACUACGUGCCAGCAGCCGCGGUAAUACGUAGGGUGCGAGCGUUAAUCGGAAUUACUGGGCGUAAAGCGUGCGCAGGCGGUUGCGUAAGACAGGUGUGAAAUCCCCGGGCUUAACCUGGGAACUGCGCUUGUGACUGCACAGCUAGAGUACGGCAGAGGGGGGUGGAAUUCCACGUGUAGCAGUGAAAUGCGUAGAGAUGUGGAGGAACACCGAUGGCGAAGGCAGCCCCCUGGGCCUGUACUGACGCUCAUGCACGAAAGCGUGGGGAGCAAACAGGAUUANAUACCCUGGUAGUCCACGCCCUAAACGAUGUCGACUAAUUGUUCGGAGAGGAAACUUUC